GCUCCCGUAGCACAGUGGUAGUUGCGCUUGCCUAGUAUUUUCGCCUUCCGCGUUAGCUUCAGCAAGAGGUCCAGAGUUCGAAUCUCUGUGGGAGCA